CUUGCUUAUAAAAAUGCUUAUUUAUAAAGCCUCAGAAUUCACUAAUAAGGUCUGAUCACAUGGCAGAUCGUUCUUCAACCACUGGCUGUGCUGUGCUCCAAGGUCUCCAUUACUGGAACGUUUGCAUAGAAGAUUCAGCACUCUUCCAAACUCAGCACUAUCAUCUUCGGGACAGCUUUCAAUAAGGACUUUGAAGCGAAGCAAGGAAGUAUGUUUGACUUUAUCUCAAUAUAAUUCAAGUGCCAAGACAGCCUCUGAGAAUUUGGAAUGCUCCCUAAGGUGGAAUAAAACCAAAGCUGCCCACCUACUUCAGCUGGUUGUUAUGAAACAACGGACUAAAAACUUUAAAUGCUGUUUAAUUAAAGUAUCUUUGCCAUCAUCAGUAGCAGUGGCAACAUUCUCUAGUAGCUGAGAUGUCACAGUUUCAUUCCUUUUACAAAAAGGCAAAAACAGUUUGGGGAAAGUCAGUUCAAAUUAAUCCAGCUUUAGUCAACAAAUAUAAUUUAGAUACCAGGAAUGGAACCAAGAUAUGAGGAUACAAAAAUGAAUGCUCUGAUGGCAAUUUCUUGAGCUUUAGGAACUUAUCCAAGUUACCUCAAAUAUUGGGAUCUUCCUGAGAAUGCAAUAGGGAUGCACAGUCUGUUGGUUCUCAGCUAGGACCAACUCUGGAAGCUCAGCUGCCUAUUUCUAUCUGUCUAGAUGCCUAGAGAUCUCCUGAGCUUAGUGGUGUCUUGACAUAGGGGAAACAAUCUUGCUAAUGAAAUAACAGUGGUUUGGCAAACAGUAUCCAGAAAUCCCAGCAGUUUGAUGUUCCCAUUCAGAAGGUGAACAGAACCUUAACAAAACAGAAUUGUAUUGCAGUAGCAUCAAAGCUCCUGUCAUACUAUAAAGCAUCACCUCAUGUUGGGUGGAGUCCUUGGUCCCUAUUGGAAAUUCAAGGGCUACUACUCAUAGUGUUCUUCUUCCUUUUCAAAGCAUCCCCAAAUUUGAACAUAGAGGACAUUCAACUGAUUCCCUAAAAUCAUGUCCACUUUCCCUGCCUAUUCCCCAGUUACUACCCUUCUCUUCUCUACAUCCUCAAGGACUGGUCCAUAUAGAAUAACCUCACAGGUUUUUCAUUAAUGAUGUCAUUACAUCAAAAAAAUAAAAGUACCUGCCCUCACUAACC
rnacentral:lncRNA from 12 species